AGUGGGGAAUAUUGGACAAUGGGCGAAAGCCUGAUCCAGCCAUGCCGCGUGUGUGAAGAAGGUCUUCGGAUUGUAAAGCACUUUAAGUUGGGAGGAAGGGUGCUUACCUAAUACGUGAGUAUUUUGACGUUACCGACAGAAUAAGCACCGGCUAACUCUGUGCCAGCAGCCGCGGUAAUACAGAGGGUGCAAGCGUUAAUCGGAAUUACUGGGCGUAAAGCGCGCGUAGGUGGUUUGUUAAGUUGGAUGUGAAAUCCCCGGGCUCAACCUGGGAACUGCAUCCAAAACUGGCAAGCUAGAGUAUGGUAGAGGGUGGUGGAAUUUCCUGUGUAGCGGUGAAAUGCGUAGAUAUAGGAAGGAACACCAGUGGCGAAGGCGACCACCUGGACUGAUACUGACACUGAGGUGCGAAAGCGUGGGGAGCAAA
rnacentral:rRNA from 1 species